UUCUUGGAAGUAAAAGUUCGUAACAAGGUCUCCGUUGGUGAACCAGCGGAGGGAUCAUUA
rnacentral:rRNA from 1 species